rnacentral:RNase_P_RNA from 1 species
AUUGCAGGUUGUUCCGUCGCGCGAAGGUCUCAUGACCUACGGGAGGAAAGUCCGGGCAACGCAGGGCGCCACACCCCGUGAAAACGGGGGCUGCCAGUAAUGGUGGACAGACAGUGCCACAGAAAGUAUACCGCCGACUUGGUGGCCGGGUUAGGGGAGGCAAGACCUCCUUUGACAAGGUUACGGAGGGCAAGGGUGAAAACGUGGGGUAAGAGCCCACGCCUGGAUGUAGCAAUGCAUCCUUGAGGUAAACCUUGUGGGUUGCAAGGCCAAAUAGUUCGGGGAUGGUUUCGUUUCGGCGGGACCGGAAGGGCUGCCCGCCCGACCCGAAGGGUAGGCU